rnacentral:rRNA from 1 species
CCUACGGGGGGCAGCAGUGGGGAAUAUUGGACAAUGGGGGCAACCCUGAUCCAGCCAUGCCGCGUGUGUGAAGAAGGCCCUCGGGUUGUAAAGCACUUUCAGUGAGGAAGAACGCCUGGUGGUUAAUACCCAUCAGGAAAGACAUCACUCACAGAAGAAGCACCGGCUAACUCCGUGCCAGCAGCCGCGGUAAUACGGAGGGUGCGAGCGUUAAUCGGAAUUACUGGGCGUAAAGCGCGCGUAGGUGGCUUGAUAAGCCGGUUGUGAAAGCCCCGGGCUCAACCUGGGAACGGCAUCCGGAACUGUCAAGCUAGAGUGCAGGAGAGGAAUGUAGAAUUCCCGGUGUAGCGGUGAAAUGCGUAGAGAUCGGGAGGAAUACCAGUGGCGAAGGCGGCCUUCUGGACUGACACUGACACUGAGGUGCGAAAGCGUGGGUAGCAAACAGGAUUAGAUACCCUUGUAGUC